CCACAGACGAAGGAGCAGUGAACAAAAUGCAUUGGGACGAUCUGCCCCUCUAGCGUGGACAUAAAGACAGUUUGGACCUCCAGCACUCCACACCCAAAAAAGCCCCCAGCAGACAGCAAAGCCUGACUGCAGAGGCCAGAUCGCAGGUUCAGGCUGAAAGUCACCGUCACAUCAGAGCAGUCAACUCCU